UACGUAGGGGCUAGCGUUAUCCGGAAUUACUGGGCGUAAAGGGUGCGUAGGUGGUUUCUUAAGUCAGAGGUGAAAGGCUACGGCUCAACCGUAGUAAGCCUUUGAAACUGGGAAACUUGAGUACUGGAGAGGAAAGUGGAAUUCCUAGUGUAGCGGUGAAAUGCGUAGAGAUAUGGAGGGACACCAGUGGCGAAGGCGGCUUCCUGGUCUGUAACUGACACUGAGGCGCGAAAGCGUGGGGAGCAAACAGGAUUAGAUACCCCCCGUAGUUCCUGAGCGGGCUGGCAA
rnacentral:rRNA from 1 species